AUGUCGGGUGCUCGAAAUGUGGUGCAGACGCGUUUCCUGGCGGUCGGACUGUUCCUUUCCGUUCUGCUGGUGAACUCCAGGCAACUGAUCGACCACAUGAAGAAGGUUUGGAAGGUACGUGGGGAACUGGAUGACCAUGAGCUGGUUGCAGGGGAAGGGCGGAAGUUCAUCCUAGAGUUCUCGGAGGAUGGAGACAGGCAACACGUUAUCAAGGGCGGGCCAUGGCAAUUCAAGGGCGAUGCGUUCCUGGUCGUCGGCCUGGACAAGGAAGCUGAUCCUGCGUCCGCAGUCUUUUCCCAUAUGCCGAUGUGGGUUCAGUUCAGGGGAAUCCCCUUCUACCUCCUCACCAAGGAGCUUGCUCGCAACCUGGGGGGCCAGGUUGGGCCGGUGGUGAUGAUCGAUCCUCACUCGAGGGGCAACAUCUGCGACAAGUUCCUCAGAGUGAGAGUGCAGCUGCCUUUGUACUCUGCUCUGCAGAAGGAGAUUACGCUAGCUGAUGAGAUCACUGACGAAGAGGUUACUGUCCACCUAAGGUAUGAAAGAUUGCCAAAUUUCUGUUUGUUCUGCGGAUAUAUAGGGCAUAUGGAAGCAAGUUGA
rnacentral:rRNA from 1 species